CCCUUAGAUGUCCGGGGCCGCACGCGCGCUACACUGAAGGAAUCAGCGUGGCUCUGUCCCUGGUCCGAAAGGAUUGGGAAACCCGUUGAAUCUCCUUCGUGGUAGGGAUCGGGGCUUGCAAUUAUUCCCCGUGAACCAGGAAUGCCCAGUAAGUGCAAGUCAUAAGCUUGCGUUGAUUACGUCCCUGCCCUUUGUACACACCGCCCGUCGCUACUACCGAUUGAACGUUUUAGUGAGGUACUCGGACUGAGCCUCAGAAGAUUCACGUCUUUUGUGCUGCUCGGGAAGAUUCCCAAACUUGAGCGUUUAGAGGAAGUAAAAGUCGUAACA
rnacentral:rRNA from 1 species